GAGCGUGACCAGCCUGUGGACUGCGCCCC
rnacentral:piRNA from 1 species